GCUUUUAGUCUCUCAAUAAGCGACCACUUGACAGAUAAUAGAGGGAAAAUUGGAUAAUAAGGUGUUCUAACAUUAUCGCAUCACUGGAUGGUACAAGAGACGGCAAUUUCUCUAUGGGAAGUACCCGAUUUUUUCUCAAAAUCGACUUUUCACGUGAAUAAAACAUUUAAAACAUGGAUUAAGUCUCACUCACGCAGUUAACUUAUGCUAAUGAGGCAAAAUUGUGACCCAGUAAAGUCUAAGCUCUCGUAAGCGACCACCUCCCGUAAGCGACCUGCUAGGCAUGACGUUUUAGGUGGCCGCUUACGGGAGGUUCGACUCUUUUUUGCUCAUGUACCUGCUGCACCCAAACUGUCAAGCUGUGACGGUCUCCAAAACGUUUCCGUUCAACUGGUCAGUAAGCCUGUUUGAAGUGUAUCUACAGUAUUUAAGUUUGACAGGAGUUUGAACUCCAAACCGAGGAACUGAACAUGACCUGCCUGUGUUCUCCCUUUCUUCACCUCUUUAGACGCUUGGAAACAGAGCACUUACCUAUUCAGAAAAUAUACUUACUCAAAAUACUUUAUCUUUGUUGUUUUACAGGGUCAAGAAAAUGACAUAAUUCUUAUUUCUUUGGUCCGAGGCGAAAACAAAAAGAUUGGAUUUUUGUCGGAGAAGAACCGUCUAUGUGUGGCGCUCUCUCGUGCACGUUGUGGUGUGUAUCUUUUCGGUAAUCGAAGGACGCUGACGGCAGCAAGAGUUACGCCAAACUACUGGAAGGUUAUCGUGGACUACAUGAAUGAGAAAGAUUGCCUUGGCUGGACUUUUCCAUUUCAUCCAAGUGUUAAAAGCGAUGAGAACAGUCCCGCCACUGUUACAAAUAUCAAUUUGAACUUUUCAAAUGUGGAGCAAGUUAAUGUCGCUGUUGGAAAUCAUGCAAGUGUGAUUGCAAAUCCAGGUAAGUUUAUAUUUCUACUUUCUGGUUUUCAAAUUUUAGGCAUUUUCGGGUUUUUCUAUGAGAAGGUUUGAGUUAAAAUUUUGUUCAGCAUUGCAUAAGUUUGCGCCUCAGAUUUGUC